rnacentral:piRNA from 1 species
UNGGUGUACUUGGACUCUAGACAUUAGU